rnacentral:tRNA from 1 species
GGUGAGGUGUCCGAGUGGCUGAAGGAGCACGCCUGGAAAGUGUGUAUACACGAAAGUGUAUCGAGGGUUCGAAUCCCUCCCUCACCGCCA